rnacentral:lncRNA from 1 species
GGAAAUGUUGGUACUAUUCCAUUGUGACAAAUGGUAUCUUAGUGGGGCAAAGAGACAUUCCUUCUACAACUCCAAAACAACCAACGUAAAAGAUGUAGAGAGGCAGGCCUAACUCAGAAGGAGAGAGGAAGCGGAUCACUAUAUAAUCUAUUCAAUUUCAAUUUCAAAAGAUGCUGCUGCUGAUCAAAGGAUACUUGUGAGUAGCACAUUUCCAUAAAAUGAAUUUUGACAACUUUCCCCCAAAUGUGUGUCUUACUUUAGCUUUUGAUUUGAAAGGAGAAAUGGAGGUUGGCAGGAAAGAUAAAUGAAAGUGAUACUGACAGUGUUUGGGGCUGCCAAAUAAUCUGCAUCUUAGAAUUUCUG